rnacentral:snoRNA from 1 species
GAAUUGAUGAUGAUUAUUGCUAAAAUAUGGAAUUACCGUCUGAACUUUGAUGUGAAAAACGCUGGCUUUACUGAAAUUUACU